GCCCACUUGGCUCAGUGGUAGAGCGUGUCAAGACUGCCGUCCCCUAAGAAUACCUUCCCGUAUCCCUAGAACAGCACCUCUAUGGCAAGAUCAUCAGUUCGAAUCUGACAGUGGGUA